rnacentral:lncRNA from 1 species
CCCCGCCCCGUCAGGACCCGCGGCAGCUGCCCCCGUCCCCCCGUCCCCGAGGAGCGACGCCGAAGGAGCGGGAGCGACUCACUCAUGGGAGCGCGGCGGGCGAGGCCGGCGACACCUCCGGCUUCCGAGGCGCCGGCGAAGUUAAUUGCACUGAAGUUCAAGUUGUCUUUUCACCCAUCAGGAGUGGGCGUUUAAAGGAAGGAGAGCGAGGAGGAGGAGGGGGAGGGGGGAGAGCCUCUCUCGCUCGCUCUCGCACACACACACACACACGCACACACACACACACAUACACAGAGAGAGAGAGAGAGAGAGAGACGCGCACACAGACACACGCACACAGACGCGCACGCCCGCCCGCUCCCGCGCUGCCUCAGCAGGAGGAGCCCGGCCGGAACACACCAGGGCAGCACCAGGCCCUGAUGCUGCACAGUACCUCAAUCCAUUCAGCUUCUCUUCAAGAUGGUAACUACUUUCCGCUCCACAUCUCUGCUGCAGAAGAUCUUGUGAUUACCUGAAAAAGUGAAUUGCAUCCUGUAGAUUUCCCCUUAAAACUUCUGCUUCACAGAAGAGAUCAGCUUGUGACAGAUGCGUCAGCAAUGUCAGACUCACUUCUCUGUUGCCUAAUUGCCCUCUCCACCUUCUGUCAAUCUGAAACUCUCAUUUUGGAAAGGACUGAAGGAGUUGUAUUAAUAUUUGUGCUAUCCACAUUUUUCCUGCAUAUUGUCUGCUCCUUCCCUUGGUGUCUGGUUUGUCUUGGCUGCUUUUAAAAAUUCUGUUGCCUCUAGUGAGGGACUGCCAGAUUAAACCAGUACAGAGAAUCCAGGUGACUGUCUACUUUUACAAAUAUAGGUUGUGUAUAAUAAAUUCAGGUUUUACAUCUAUGCAAAUUAAGUCAUCAUAUGAUUAUGACUACAUGCAUUUUUUUAUCAAAUAUGGCAUAUAUUUCACAAAUUAUAUUUAACUUAUACACAUGUUGCUAUUCUGAAUACCUGACUAGGAAUUACAAAGUGUGUCACUAGAUCUUAGUAAGUGGGCUUAUGGAACAAGAAGAAAUAAGAGAAAAUCACCUCUUUUCCUUGCAUUCCUGACAAGUCCAGUGUAAGGGCUUUUCCUACUCUAGAUGGCAAUAUAAACACCUUACCACAGAGCUGUUGAGAGAUAAAAGUACAUCUUGUUGUUGGAAACUUAAAGAAUGUAUGAAAAACAAAACAAAAUACCCUAAAAAAGGAAGUUUUAAAGUAAUGUGUCUUUGGUCUAGUGUUUGUCACAUCUACUUGGUAUGGCCUUCCUCUAAUGUUUCAGUCAUGCAGUGUAAGACAUUAGUCACAAUGUCAAAAUAAGCACAUUACUUCUGCAAAAAUGUAUUUUCACCUCAGGAAUAUUGUGAAGUGAAAAUAGGAUUUAGCACAAUUCUUCCUUUUGAGUUUUUCUACAGACAGGACAGUUUUAGUGUAAAGCUCUAAAUCUUGCAAGAUUAUUCCCAGCAUUAGGUACGACACAUCUGGAAGAAUCUGCCAACUGAGUGCUGGCAAGGAUUACGCUGAGAAGGUAACAACUCAGUGCUUUCACUGUUAACCGUCCUCCACAACUGCUGUUUUUUGGUGUUUUUGUGUGUGUGUGUUCGUUUGUUUCUUUGUUUUCCGAAUAAAUAAACAAAUACUUUGUUGAGCUCAA